rnacentral:rRNA from 1 species
UACGUAGGGUGCGAGCGUUGUCCGGAAUUAUUGGGCGUAAAGAGCUUGUAGGUGGCUCGUCGCGUCGGGAGUGAAAACCCGCGGCUUAACCGCGGGCCUGCUUUUGAUACGGGCGGGCUAGAGUUCGGCAGGGGAGACUGGAAUUCCUGGUGUAGCGGUGGAAUGCGCAGAUAUCAGGAGGAACACCGGUGGCGAAGGCGGGUCUCUGGGCCGAUACUGACACUGAGAAGCGAAAGCGUGGGGAGCGAACAGG